UGAGGAAUAUUGGUCAAUGGGCGCAAGCCUGAACCAGCCAUCCCGCGUGAAGGAAGAAGGCGCUAUGCGUUGUAAACUUCUUUUCCAGGGAAAUAAAAUUUCGUACGUGUACGGAACUGAAGGUACCCUGGGAAUAAGCAUCGGCUAACUCCGUGCCAGCAGCCGCGGUAAUACGGAGGAUGCAAGCGUUAUCCGGAUUUAUUGGGUUUAAAGGGUGCGCAGGCGGAAAAAUAAGUCAGUGGUGAAAUCCUGCAGCUUAACUGUAGAACUGCCGUUGAUACUGUUAGUCUUGAGUAUGGUCAAGGUAGGCGGAAUGUGUAAUGUAGCGGUGAAAUGCUUAGAUAGUACACAGAACACCGAUUGCGAAGGCAGCUUACUGGGCCAUUACUGACGCUGAUGCACGAAAGCGUGGGGAUCAAACA
rnacentral:rRNA from 1 species